rnacentral:rRNA from 1 species
AGAGUUUGAUCAUGGCUCAGAUUGAACGCUGGCGGCAUGCCUUACACAUGCAAGUCGAACGGCAGCACGGGAGCAAUCCUGGUGGCGAGUGGCGAACGGGUGAGUAAUACAUCGGAACGUGUCCAAUAGUGGGGGAUAGCCCGGCGAAAGCCGGAUUAAUACCGCAUACGAUCUACGGAUGAAAGCGGGGGCUCUUCGGA